UAAAGCGUGCGCAGGCGGUUUUGUAAGUUUGUCGUGAAAGCCCCGGGCUCAACCUGGGAAUUGCGAUGAAGACUGCAAGGCUUGAAUCUGGCAGAGGGGAGUAGAAUUCCACGUGUAGCAGUGAAAUGCGUAGAGAUGUGGAGGAACACCGAUGGCGAAGGCAGCCCCCUGGGUCAAGAUUGACGCUCAUGCACGAAAGCGUGGGGAGCAAACAGGAUUAGAUACCCAGU
rnacentral:rRNA from 1 species